rnacentral:rRNA from 1 species
GACAGCAGCAGCCACGGUAAUACAGAGGGUGCGAGCGUUAAUCGGAUUUACUGGGCGUAAAGCGUGCGUAGGCGGCUUCUUAAGUCGGAUGUGAAAUCCCUGAGCUUAACUUAGGAAUUGCAUUCGAUACUGGGAAGCUAGAGUAUGGGAGAGGAUGGUAGAAUUCCAGGUGUAGCGGUGAAAUGCGUAGAGAUCUGGAGGAAUACCGAUGGCGAAGGCAGCCAUCUGGCCUAAUACUGACGCUGAGGUACGAAAGCAUGGGGAGCAAACAGGAUUAGAUACCCCAGUAGUCCCUGUCUCUUAUAA